GGAGGUGUAACUGUCCUGGUGGGCAGCGCGGUCUUCAAAACCGUAGUGGGGAGUAUGGCUUCCCGGGUAGGUUCGAUUCCUAUCCACCUCCGCCA
rnacentral:tRNA from 1 species